UUAUAUGCAGGUCUAGAGUUGGCUUGAUCGUAUUUCAAGGUGAAAUCACCUUUUGAGAAUCUCAUUGAUAACCAUAGAACCUUAUGCAACUAGGAGUAUGAUAGAUAUCAUGUGUGUAAGACUAACUGAUGUCAUAACUUUGAUAGGAAUUAUUGAUAAUUGCAUAGAAAGAUUCUAGCUUACCACUUAUUGUUCUUUUCUUCGGACUCCACGGUUCCAUUCCCCCGUACCGAUAAAUUUUCAUGUGAAGAUCAACUAAUGAUCGAGCAUACCGCUUCCUACGUUUGAUUGCAUUAGCUUCUUCGUAUACUCUUAUGAUGUUUGUGACAAGAAACAGCAAAUGCAUGCUUUCCCCGCCAAAGAUACCUGCAAAAUAGAUAACAUUGAUUAUCGGCUAUACAGUACAGUUUAUAAUAAAGGAAAAAGAAAAAAAUCCAAGCUGUUAAUUAAACAAGAAUGUACCCACCUUUCAAGCAUUAGCAAUGGAUCAACAAUAAGCUCCAUUUUGCCAUCAAUCCAAAUGCUAUACUUAGCUUUCGGAAAUAGCCUAUGAGUUAAGAUCUUAGGAAUCUUUCCAUUCCAUCUAGGCUCAUCGUAGGGCAAAUGAUGCAAUGUCGCAAGGCACCAAAUACCCACCCAUUUCCCAUCAUCACUGUCUUCUCUCACGCUAAUGUUUUGCUUGAUGAAAUGAAGUGAUUUCUCAUUCACCACCAUGAGAAGGCAGAAAAGCUUUUUCGAACGAAACCUUAUGUUCGGGGUUGAUGAGGUAUGUCGUACCCAUCGAAGAUGCCAGAGGCGACCACAAAUUGACAUUUUCGAGCGUAUUUUACAUCGAUGUCGUCCAUUUCUACACCAGCAUUUCUCAUAAACCCACAGUGUACCUAAAGGCCAUUAGAAGAACACGCAACCAGUUGCUAAUGUGACCAAAAAUGAAAGGAAGAAUUGCAAGUCGGCAUGCCUUUAUCAUUUAUUCUACAUAGAUGAGACAACAAAGUGAUUGACGACCUUGGCAAAUAAAAACAUAUUAACGAGAAGGUUUCUUGAAUAGAAGUAUCAUUUAGAUAUCUUACAUUCAUCGUAAUCUUCAAAUUAAAGCUCUCCUCUCUUUCUUUCCAGCUCUGAUGUCCUCCGAACACUGGGAAGGACUGCGUCCCCUUAUUUCCUUGCUCAUCAACAAAUAUAUAUGAUAAGCUUUUUGGAAUUAUAUUUCGUGUCCUCUUCGGAAUAACUAUAGCAUCUGGAUCAUCAGCGAGAGAGAUUGGGCAACAUGAUUGAAAAGACCCUCAGUAUUUUCUUUUUUUCUUUUGGUUUUGGAAAGAUCACCAAAAUUAUCUGAUGUUGUGAUGCAACAAGCAAUUAUACACUUACGGUGCAGUGGUUUUGGUGCGGCAUGCGUCGUGUCUAAUGUUACAAGAACUUAGUUUUCUUUUCUACAAAGAGCUGCAGACGAAAAGCAUUCAAUUGCUAACCGAGACGGAUUAGACCACAAGAAACUUACUACAACUGCCGUUGCAUUAUUGCCAAAACUAAAGAUGGUAUUGAAGUAAAAUUUCUCUCUCAAACUCCUAAAUCAGGAUUAUUAAGCCUCUCCAUAUUGUCGAAACUUAUGAAGUUUCUCUUAAUACUAUUUAAUUUCAUUCUCUUCCUAGUUCCGUAGACAAGUAUGAAUCAAGCAGUGAAAGAAUCUAAAAUGCUAGGGCGUUGCCUAAAUCUUCGACAAGAACAUGUUAGCUGAAUCAUCAAAAUAACAUGACGAAAACGAUGUUAAGAGAGGAACAACGCCACAAAAUUGUUUUGAACUGCAACAACUAUUCGAUGUACAUAAAAGAUUAAUAGAAACAAUCAAAAGGGAAAAUAUUGUGCCAUCGAGUAUACCUGCGAGGUAGCCGAUCAAAGAAUGGCAAGACCACAAAUGGAGCAGCGAUGCGGCGAGAAUGAGCAUCGCCACCCAAACAACAGUCGAGGUGAAACCAAAACGAAUGAAACCCUUCCUCCGAACCAUUCGAAAGGGAUCUCCCCACGCUCUCCCAGGUGGAAAAGAAUCACCUUCCUCAUCUGAAUCAAAAGAAAAAGCCCAUAUAUGAUCCGUUUCACCAAUAAAUCGUACCAAAGAAGCUAAGUUUGCUUAAUUCUCACCAUUGGUGUGAGAGCCCUCACGGCUCCAAUCUCCUCCUCUACGCGAUGCUCGAAAGGAGAGCGAAACUUGAUGGGUUUCCACCUCCAUUACAACGAAUUUACGAUCCAACCCUAUGAGAAUGAUCGAUUUGGGGAGAGAAUGAUACAGAAAACCAAUGAAAGAUCGUCCUUUUAUCGCAAGAACAGAUCAAAAAUGGAUUAUAACAGCGUUCUCGAAGCAAUACCUCAAUCUUUGUUGCGUUUCUCGAUCGAAAUUGGAGGCCAUACGCAAUUCCAUUAGGGUUUUACGAAGAAAAUGGGGGAGAUCGAAGAAGAGGAAGAAGCAAGAGGGUAGAGAGACUGAGAUGAUUCGGAUGUAUAAAACCGCGGGAAGGUUCGGAUCCGAGACAAUUGAAGUGAUGAAAUGGGCCGGGUCCAGGCCCAAUAUCAACCCAAAAUAAAUAAAAGCAAUGUAAGAUUUGGUUGUUCAAUCUUAAACUUUUCAAAUUUUCAAUAUUAAUUUUAAAGUUCACAAUUGUUCAGGUAACAUCUAUAUACGCUUUUACUUCGGCAUGUGGUUAAAUCUCUUUAUAAAGCAGAUUGCUACUUUUGAUUCAGUUUAAACGAAACGUAACGUAGAAUAUCAACCUGUAGAUUAAAAGAUGCAAACACCUCCCAAGUAACUCAAAAGCAAAACAAGCAGCUCUUUAUAUAUGAACAUCUUUUGGUAAUCAAGAUCUCUCAUGUACACACACUGCUUGGAACAAAGAGUUUCUACUCCUCCGCAUUUUCGAAGCUGGAAAAUUUCGGACUCCGACGCCACACCAAACUUCAAAAAAUGUGACAACCAUCAAUUGAUCAGCUAGCCCUCUACACGCAAAUCGACGGCGGUCGGAGAAGUUGGUUGUUUACUGCAGCCAUCUCCAGCCUCUCCCAUCUCACCUCCCUUUUGCUCGCUUCGCACCCGAUCGCGGAUUCUCUCUGAUUGAUCUCUUCGAGGCACUUUGCGUAGAGCUCGGGCUCCAUCUCCUCCAACAUGUUCUUUACACUCGUCGUCAGCUGCCGCACCGACUUGCUCCAGUGCGUCUUGAGGUUCUUCUCGAUGCUGUCGACCGUCGGGGGCAGGAUCUCUUGCAUCAGACACGACGCCAUCUUCACGAAUUGCUCAUUGUUCCAUACAUAAAGGGCCCUUUCUGCCACCUGCAAAAGCACAAAAAAUAGAGGGAAAAAAUUUAAAUACUUUGAUUUGAGAUUUUUUCUUAGGUGAUCAAAUCUUGUUCAUGUAAGUUUUGAAACUCUGCUAGUCUUUCCCUCCUCCAAAGAUAAAAGACAUCUUUGAAUCACUUCGGUUUAUUUAUCUUAUACUCGUUCACCACUCAAAAUCCAUCUGCAGUUACUUAUUCCACCGUUCAUCCAUCCAUCGCAUCUCAUACUCUACCCAACUCAAAUCAAAUGUGCUCUAAGAUCCGUGCAAAUUCGAUGGUGCCGGUUCUCAACCAGGUUUUGUCCCCAGCCGGAACUACUAUUAGAUCGACCAAAUAGGAAAUAGUCCAGGAUCAGUCUUAACAUCCUCAGAAGGAUGCAAUGUUUGCGUGUCUAAAAUCAAAUACCCCUGCAAACUUAGAAAAAUUUUAGAAUGCAUCAGUUAUAUUUGAUGACGUGACAUUCUCAACCAGCAAAAUGAUUCGUUUUGAAUGUAUCCAUCACAUUCACACCGUGAUUAUAAAAAAAAUAUUUUUAUUGUAAUUUUAAAAAAUAUAUAUGAUUAGCUUAUUUCUGGUGAUGAAAAUAAUGCAGUGCAAGUGGAAUACAGUAGAUUUUCUCGAGCGUGAACCUGAGAGUUGCAGCUGGUGGAGCACCGGGCGAUCUGCGCGCAGAGCGGCGGGGCGAGCUUGCGGAACAGCGGCAGGUCGAGCAGGUCGAGCAGCUCCUCGAGCUCCCCGAUCAUCAGCACCUCCUUGUGGGAGCUGGUGCGGGGCCAGCAGCGGAGCAGGCCCCUCGCCACCGCGUCGGCGAGCGCGGGCUCCUUGCGCACGAACUGCAUCACGCAGUAGCUGAGCUGGCGGUGGUACGCCCCCAUCCCCUUGGGGCGGUGCAGCGGCACCAGCACCCGCCGCAGGAGCGCCCGGUGCUCCUCCUUCAGCGGCACCGCGAACCCGUCGAUCACGCUCGCCCAUAUCUCCAGCAGCUCCCCGACCCCGCACUGCCGCUCCGCCAGCAGCGCGUCGCGCAUCGACCGCCGCAUGAACGCGCCCUUCAGCCGGUGGCGCUCCCGCAGGUCAUCGGGUCCUCUGACUCGAACAGCGUCGCCAACCCGGACAGGAACCCGCGCCCGGCGUGCUCGCGGAGGGCGGCCUGCUCCGCGCUCGACACCGCCGCCGACAGGAUGUCGUAGGCGAUGCUGAGGUGCGGCCACGGCGGCGCGAGGGACGCGACGGGGGAGUCGUCGUCGACGAGGAGGGAUUCGGGAGGGUGGGGGCAGCAGGGGGAGGCGGGGGGCGGGAGCGGGCGGAAGAGGUUGGCGGACAGCAGGGCGAAGAGCGGGCGGAGGAUUCCGGGGGGGAGCGGCCGCCGGGCGGAGCGGACGGCGGAGAGCACGCGGAGGAGCCGCGCGCGCUGGGCGUCGCGGUCGGACGGCGACUCCGACGGGUCGGUGAACGUGAACACGCGGCUGCCGCAGAGCGAGAUCGCUUCUACGAGCUCUUCCGCGUUCGACUCCGGCGAAGAAGGCGGCCGCGGCAGCGCGCACGCGAAGCCGCCGUCGCCGUCGCCGUCGCCGGCGCCGGCCUUGGAGUCGAGAUCGAAGAGGUGUUUGAGAGUGGUGGACUUCCGCUUGGGCCGGAGCUUCGGCGAGUUCGCCGAAGCGCCCAUCUCUCUCUCUCUCUCUAUCUCUCUCUCGGAAGAGAAUGGAGGAGAAGGAAGAUCAGGGCGGAAUUUGGACAAUUUGUAAUUGACAAAUUUGAGAAAAAUGUCUCGGUGGUCCUUGUCCUGUUGCGAUAUGGCUACUUGGUCCCUCUCUAUCUCUCUCUCCCUCUGUUUUCCUCUCAAACUAUGAAAUAAUUAUGCCUAAGUGCCUAACUUAUUUUAGUUAAUAAACGUUUAGAGUUGCGGUUUAUAGUUCUUAAUAAAAGAUUUAGAAGUUAUUUUACGAAAUGAGUAUUUUGUUCUUUCUAUUUUAUAGCAAAAUUUAAAAUAAAGUGUUAAAAAAACAAAAAAGAGUGCAAAAAUGAACUCGCAAUAUCAGAAAAUUACAGGGACGAUCCGUGCAAUUUUUUUUUUUAAAAAAAAAGGCUUUGUAAUUUGUAUAGGAUAUAGUGAAAAUUGGCAGGUGAUGAUGAGGGAGGAAGAGUCCAAAAGGUGGGGCGAUGUUUUCGGUGGGAAAGAAAAGGGCAGCUUGUGAAUGGGUUGUUAAUUGCACUCAAAGUCCCAUAUUUUACCAAAUUUUCAUUUUACUCCCUAUUUUUUUUUUUUUUCAUUUUGAUUCUUAACUUGUAGAGUUAGUUGCGCUAAUGGUACCCACCCUUUUGCCCUUCUUUUCCUUCAUGUGCACCCCCAUGGUAUCAAACUCAAGCUCACCACUUUCUCCUCUGCACCUUCGACCAUCUUGACCCCGUAUAUAAUAUCUACCGUUUCUUUUGGAGCAUUCGACGAUCGGAUACUUUGAUAGACCAGGAAUUGUUAUAAUCAGUAACUACAUCUUAUAUGAGUAGUACUCAGGAUAUUAUUAAAGUUGGCAUGACUGAUUCGAUUAAACUUAAUAGUGUUUACAGACAUAACUGAAAAGAAAUAUAAUUAGAAACUGAAGUUAAAAAACAAAAAAAAAAAAAUGGAUAAAGGUUAGGGGCCAUCAUGCAAUAAACGCUUUGUAAAUUCCGACCGUUGAGGGAUGUUCCUGCUUUCCAACGAGAGGAGCACAUGGUCAACAACAUCUUUGGGCUCCUUUUGGCUAUUUUGGCUUUUUGAUGCAGCUAAAAUUGGUUUGGAUUGGUGUGUUUGGACACAUAGCAGUUGAAUAUACGGCUGGAGAUUAAGAAAGGGUUAAAAAAGAUAUCUGCGUAAGAUUCUCUUCAUGUAAUUUUAAUUAUUUUUUUUAAGACAAUAUGGUACCAGAGUCAGCUUCUGCAGCAGUUUUAAAGAAAUUUUGAAUUUAAUUUCUUUGUCAUCUUCUCGUUAUCCCUCUUCUAUCAAUUAACAUUAUAUGAUAUAUCUAAUUUUCAUCGUAUAAAUUAGUUGAUGUGUUAAGAUUAUUUCCGAAUCAUUUUCUUUUUUUUGUAUCUAUGUUAUUUUUUUUCUUCCCUUGUUAUCUCUAUUAAUGUACGUAAUAUAUAUAUAAUUCAUCUGAAAUAUUUCUGCAUUAAAAGAAAAGAAAAGAAAAUUCUUCACAUUGGGGUUAGGCAGGAUGAUGAAGGCUCCAACUGAAAUGCCAGUUUCUCUUAUCUACUUUGCGGAUAAUGGGGAGUGAUUGAAUAAUACUUUAUUGCAUUAUAUAUAUACACCUGAAAAGGACCCUUUUAGUGUUCACCAUGUGGAUCAUCAUAAGCUGAGAAACUAUUUCGCCAUGUAAUUAAAAGGCCUAUAUAUAUAUAUACUUAUGAUGCCACGUGCAUCUCUUUUAGUGCAUGAUCUCUACAACUUAUACACUCUAAAAAGUAACAACAAAGUGUUUGGCAAAGAGAAGGUCUAAAAUUUACACUGCAACAAGAAAUAAAAUAAAAUCCUAGACUCUGAAAACAAAAGCUCGACUUGUAAUUUUAACUUUUUAAGACAACUCUACUCAAACAGUACAAAGAUUCACUGCCGAUGGAGCACUACUAGAGAAGUGAUAAAAAGAAACAUAAAGAGAAGAACAUGCCCCAUUCCUCGCAUUUUGUCGCUCUAUUCAUAGUUUGGCACAUAACAGCAGAAUAUAUAUAUAUUAUAUAUAUAUAAAAGGAAAACAGAGAUCCAAAGAAAGCUGAUAGAUGGUCAAGUUGAUUUGCUCUCACAUAGAUUUGUAUUCAAUUGCCCAUUGAAAACAAUUAUCAGAAACAAUGAUCAUAAUGUAACAGCAACAAGUCAAACAUGGAGAUAUUUCAUGAUUUGAUCAAAGAGAUGAUGAUACUCAUUGAAGGCAAUGCGUGAUAAAAUCACAUGUUUGCUAAGCUAACAGAGAACAGUUCAGAUGGCUGCUGUAACAGUCAAAACCUUGCGCUGAAGACAUCAAGAUGCAUAACAGUUUCAUAAAGAAGAGUUCAAAUGAUAGUAUAGUAUUACGAUCCGAGUUUGAACAAGACCAAACUAGUAGGAAACUAGGUUUUCACUGGUGACCUACUCUUAUCUACAAAACUUGAAAUAUGGUCAUCAACAACUUUUGAAUGAUGUUCUCUGUCAUCAAUGAUACACUAAUCAAAGUUCUAAAAGAUAGUAGGUGGCUGAAGAGCGGCUGAUGACUUGGUCAGCAUCCACUGAUUGCAGUAGCAAAAACAAGAAGAUGAUUUCAAAUAAGUUUACAAAGAGAAAUAGCUUAUCAAAAUGCACCAAAGCCGGCCAAACAAAACGAUAACUAAAUAGUCAAUAUCACUAUACUAACCAAAAAGAGGCUAAGUGCCGGCCGAGAAACUCGUCCUCUAAAACAUUUACUCUCGAAAACCAUUUUUAAACAGCAAAAGAGAAAAAAAAAUUGCACCUCAUCCAAAAAAAUAUGCUAUCAUAGAAUCACAAAAGAAAACACAAGAAAAAAUAAAAAGAAAUUUUAUAAGUCAACCUAACAUUCAACCAAAUCAAACAAGAAUCUCGUCCUCAUACGUAAGAAUAUUUUUAAUAAUUUACCAUCCACCCUCUUUGAAAAGCAAAGCCACAAAAAAUCCGACAGGUACUUCAGUUCUAUGCUAAUUAUAUUAUAUUUGAGAUAAUUACCGCAAGAUGCAAGGACUUUUUUCAUGAUGAAUUAAUACCUAUCAAAACAUAGAGAAACUCAGGAUGACCUCCACAGAGUGGAAAAAAAGAUUGAAUUUCCCAUGCAAGCAAUUUCAGUAACUUUCCACUAGAAAUAUUUCUACGUAAUAAGAAAACAAAGCAAGUUUGCUCUACCAGAGUUAUAUGUCAGAAACAAGCAUCUUCUCUAUCAAAGUAUUGCUUAACAUAAGUUUCCUGCGCUUUUCAUUAUUUUGACUAUUUUUUUUACAAAAUGGACAUGCACUAGAAUAAUCAAUACUGCAAGCAAGAAGAAAGUACUACUAAAGUUGUUAUACAUAGAACUUUUACAGGACGUGGAAUGGUGGAAGGCAAAAAAGAUAGUAACACGACCAUUAAGAUUGUAGGUCUUUCUCUAACAAUGUGACCAACUAGAAAAUUCAAUAGUCCAUGCCUUGUGUAGGUAUUUUGUGAGCUCCAGAUAUAAAUUUAGUCAUUGGAUAUUGAUUGAAUACAGAAUUCACUUAAAUAUCUACACGGAAAUGUGCCCAAAAAGUCUAAAUAUUGCAUAUUUCCUCUCUCACAAGCAUACAAGCUACAUGCCGGUAAGUUAUAAUAUUUUAACAUCAAACAGGUAGAUACAUUAAUGCCGCAAAGGUACACUACCAUUAUCCAUUUCUUACAGAAAAAUUUUAUUUUAGUGAGGUGUCCAAGUAAAGAAAAAUGCUUCCUUUGGAAAAAAAAAAAAAAAACAAAGGUGAAAUGCAACACCUAGAGGCUGGACAAGAAUUUCAGGUCGAAAUAAGACAUGCAUACAGACGGAAUAUAGAUUAGCUUAAUGUGGGUAUCCACCAAAGGCCAAAGCUAUUAAUCCAAUCACCAUAGUAAAUUAACUCAAAACAGCUUAAAACACAUUUUUCACUAACAACGAAAUAGUAUAUUUACAUCACAACUUCUAAGUUUUAUCUCUGUAAGUAAUUCAUAUGUCAAUUUGGGGGAUUGCAAACACAUCCAAACCCAAAAGAAGCACUAUAAGUUACAAAAAAAUAACUUUAUUUGUAAAUUCAGUUAUAAUUAGAGCAACAAACAGCAAUGACAAUUAACAUCAUAGAAAACUACAAUUAGUACCACAUUGUAUUGUUAUCCGAUCGGCUAACGAAUCCUCUCUCCACCAUCAUCUCAACAAGCUCUUCAUGCUUCCUCAGCUGCCCCGCCUUCCUCAACAGUUCUAACACCAUCUCAUACACUGGCCUUGUCGGUUUCAAACCCUUCUCCCCCACCAUCUCCCUCAUCGUCGCAUACGCCCUCCUCCAAUUCCCCCUCCCACAGAAUGCCGUCGCCAGUGCCGCGUACGUGUUCACGUUCGGCUCCACCCCCUCCGCCUCCAUCUCCUUCCUCAUCCUCACAACCAUAUCCAUCGACUUCUCCUCAUUGAACAGCUGCAUUAGAAGGUUAUACGUCACAGUGUUCAGCGGGCAAUGUAGCUCCCGCAUUCUAUCAUACAACUUGUGGGCAGCGUUCACAUUUCCAGUGUUCCGCAAGCAGCGGAAUAUGGGAUUGAACGAGUGGCAAUUCGGCGAGCACCCUUUAGCCACCAUCUGAUUGAGGACUUUAAGGGCGGCAUCGAGGUUCUUCUGGCCUUUUCCACAGUGCGUCUCGAUGAGGAAGUUGUAGGUUAUAAUGUCGGGCUCGCACCCGAGCUGCUUCAUCUGGUUCCGGACCUGCAGAACCUGCUCGGCGCGCCCGGCUUUGACAUGAGCGCGCAUAAAAUUGUUGAAUGUCGCGGUGUUGGGCGCGCAACCAGCGUCAAUCAUUUGGCAGAGCAGCUCGUGGGCGCGCGGCAAUUGGCCGGCCCUGCACAUGGCGUCGAUCACGAUGGUGUAGGUAUACACAUUAGGGGUUAUGCCGAGCUGGCGCAUCUCGGCGAAGACCCGCUCGGCCUCAUCGAGCCGGGCGGCGCGGCACCAGGCGUGGACGAGGACCGAGUAGAGAACCACAUCGGGCGGGAACUGCGAUUUGAACGAAUCGAACAGGGACUGGGCUUCGCCGGCGAGCCGCUUCUUGGCGAGCGCGGCGAGGAGCGACGCGAGGGAGGCGGGGUCGGGCGCGACGCCGUAGUCCGGCAUGCCGCGGAACGCGGCGACGGCGUCCUCGGGGAGCCCGGCGCGGAUGUAGCGGCGGAUGAGGGCCGCGAAAGUUUGAGGCAAAAUUGGGACUUUUGAGCCGCGCAUUUCGUCGAGCAGGUGGCGGGCGAGGUCGCAGUGGCGGAGCUUGCCGGAGAGGUCGAUCAUGGCGGUGAAGGGCUCGGAGAGGGAGUCGGGGGAGGGGUGGGAGGAGAGGAACCAGUGGAAGAAGGCGAGGGUUUGGGGGAAGGGGACGCCAUUGCGGAGGGAGGAGACGCGGCGGAUGAGGGCGAGGGCGAGGGAGGGGGNUGUGAGAGGGAGAAGAGAGGGAGAUGUCAUGGGUCAUGAGCUUCUUAUUUGAGUUGUUGUUGUUGUUGUUGGUAAUGGUGGUGGUGGUGGUGGUGGUGGUGGUGGUGGAGAAGAGGAAGGAGAAGGGAGGAGGAAGGAAAAGGGGUUUUGGUUUGAGGAGAAACGCCAUGGAUGGAGGAGAGUGAGGUGGUUGAGGUGGCCGAGGAGGAGGGAGGGGGUUAGGGUUUAGGGCUCAGUGGGUUGAGCCGUAUAUGGGCGACCAAAUCACUAAUUUUGGUUCUAGUUUGGUUCGAUCUUGAUUAUAACUAGUUUGAUUUUAAUUUAAUUUUUUGAAAUUAAAAUUGUAGUUUGAUUUUUAUUUAAGAAUUAAAAAGAAUUAAUCCAAAUCAAAAAAAUCAGAAUAUGAGUAGAAUAUAAAAAUAAAAUAUAAGCUACUAGAUUUCUAAUAUCUGUUAAUUGUUGUAGUUAUAUUGGCUAAUAUAAAAUAUUAGCUAAUAUAAAUAUUAGCCAAUAUAACUACAACAAUUAACAGAUAUACGCUAAUAUAAAAUAUUAGCUUACUAUUUUCUUUCUUCUUUUUUCCUAGCAGGCUUAAUAUUUAAAUAAUUAUUAUAAUAUUAUUAGGAUUUUCUUCUUUUUCAAUUUUAUUAUUGUUUUAUAUAAGAUUAAACCACUGUUGAAAUCUCAUUACACUCUUGGGCUUCUUAAAAUUUCUAAAACUCAAAUAUAAGGAAGAGCAUUAAAUAUAGUAGAUCACUGUCACAAUAUCCUAUUUAGGAUUUUCUAUAAUAUUGUAAAUCACAUGGCAUCAUUAUUAUUAUUAUUAUUAUAUUCUAAACUUCAAACACCAUCGUUACUAACUCUAAGGGGGCGUUUGGAUCGACGAAUUUGUAGAUUCAACGUAAGUCAAGUGUAGUGGUGUUUGAGUUUUUCUGAAGUGUGAUUAUUUUUCUGUUGUUUGUUUUGACGUAAUUCGUACCACUGAAAGUUAAAUUCAAUCACUUCUGCUGUUUGUUUUGAUGUAACUUGGUGCUGGUAAAAUUAGUUUUUUGAGUUCCGUUGUUUGUUUUGAUGUAAGUAAGUGGAUCCCAUUAUCUCCUAAAUAUAGUAAUAAAUUUAUCACUAUAAAAUUUAACCUAUUAUAUAAUUAAAUUUUUUAUUAUUAUUUAAAGAUAAUCUUAAUUUAUUAUAAAUAAAGUAAUUCUAACCCAUUAUAAAGAAAGUAGAGUUUAGAUUUUACUGUUUAAUAAAUUGUUUAGAGAAGGUUGAGUGUGGUGGAAGUUGAGUUCGGUACUUUAGAGCCGGAAGUCGAGAGUAGAUGAAGUGGAGCUCUAACGUAACUUGAGUUAUAUUAUAUUUUUUACUUACACCAAAAUAAAUAACGGAAGUGAUGGAACUUAAGUUCCAUCACUCCACUUACACCAGAACAAACGGGCCCUAAAUCCUUCACUUCUAUACAUUCUAACACAUCAACAAUAUUUAUAU
rnacentral:lncRNA from 1 species